rnacentral:lncRNA from 1 species
GCAAAAGCUGGUUACAAACAAUCCAUAGAAACAGGAGGUGAAGCUAGACAAUCAGUUAGACCAGAAAUUCUCAGAAGGGAGUAUGCCUUAACCGUAAAGAGGGCUAGAAGAGCUGUGGCAAGAUGAGGGCAUUUACAGCCCUAUCUUAUCCAUAUGGACAGGUGCCCCCACAUGCGUCCAUUUAUAGGCUCUCCACAAGGGUUGCAUUCCAUUCCCAGAGCUAUGAAAAUCUGCAUUUCUGGCAUAGGAAUCUUGGUGAUGUGAAACCUCCCUGACUGCAUGUCUGGUCAUAGGCUCUCUGCAGGGGGAAGCACAUCACACGCUGUUGGCUCAUUCUGGCAGUCCAACCUGGCAUUGUCUUUACACAAUCCUGCAUGCAACUUUGUAUUCACAAUAAU